UUUGCAUGUAUCAUUUUGAUGAUUCUCCAUUUUAAUUGACUUUCCAUUGAUAUGAUCAAUACAACGUUUUCCAUUGGCCUUGUUGAUCUUUCUGCCUUUCAUGCUAGGGCCUGAUGUCACUGAAAUGGGCAGAUUCUGGAUUCAGACCUCCUGGUGGGACCCUACCUCCCCAAACCACCCACUGAUGAGACCUUGGACACGCAACUCAGUCUCUCUGAGCCCGAGUUCUCCUUUUGGAAGGAUGGGGCUGGGAUAUCAUUCAACUUCAUUGGAUUAAAGCCCAGAUGAAUAUUGUCACACAUAUUUUACAUUUGAGCAAAGGAUUUGAGGAAGAUGAACCUUCAGAUAUACAGCAAGUGGUGCAGUAGGUGCCAAGCCCAGGAUGAGCAGAGCAUGAAGAUACCGUCAUUCGUACAUUCAAGAAAUGUUUGCGGCUGAAGAGGAGGAAGACAUUGUUUCCUUCCUUCACAGGGAAGGAUUAGGUCCCGGUCCCCAGAGCAAGUGUAUUCUCCUCCCUGCUCAAGAGGUUUUCACCUUCAUUGUUAUUCUCUUGGGAACCAGGCCCAUUAAGCAUGAUUAAAAACAGGUCUCAUCUAGAAUCAGAGCUGUGCUCUGAGAUGAAAAUCCUGGGUGCCGUGAACUAAAUUUCCUGUAAGAAUAAAAGAACCCGCCGAAUACUGGCCUUGCUCUAGCUAGUUGUCUAUGCUCAGAGCGUAGUAUUAAGACUCAUCAUUUAUCUUCAUUGUGGGAAUUUGUCCUUAUGAAAGAAUUUUUUUUGGAUGUGCAUUUUACCACUCUUAGAAAGCUGGUAGUUUUGACAAAUCCACAAAAUAUGUUUCUAAUUCCAUUCUGUUCCUAUUGCGUCCCGGUAAUUCUCACAUUAUUUCUGGAAGAUUAGCAGACAUGCAGUGGUAGUGACAUAAUUAGUAUUCGGAGGAGAUAAUAAUGUCAAGGGAUUUUGUUGUUCUUGGAAACUACAUGGAAAAAGAAGGAGAGCAAAAGUUGGAUUUGUGAUCAUUUUUUGGCAUAUAUUGGUGUUUGUUCAGGAAAAUUUUAAUGCCGUAAAUGAGAUUGUUUAAUGAAAACAUGUUGAAUAAGACACUUAGAAGAAAGUCGAUUUUGUAUUCUUUGUUUUACCCACAGCUUCCUCUCUGUAAGGAAAAAGCAUUUCUCUUUCUGCAGAAUUCCCUUUCUGAUAUGAAACGGUUAAUCCUGAGAAUUGUUUCAGGCAAUAAAACACUGACUGGAAUCUUUCCGACAAUA